rnacentral:lncRNA from 1 species
CCUUUCUUUCUGUGGUACUAAGAAUUGGCACGGGUAGCCAUAUUGUAGGCAUUUCGAGAACUGAUACUGGUAGUCAGUAUUGAGAGAAAAGAAUUGACACAAAUAACCAUAUUAUGGGCAUUUCGAGAAAUGACACUAGUAGUCAGUAUUGUGGGAAAAGAAUUGGCACUAGUAGCCAUAUUGUGUGGGUGUAUUCGAGAUCAGUUCUUAUAGUGCAGUAAGAAUUCGAUAACAUAGAUUUGGGUUGUUUUAUCCUGGGGCGGC